AUGUUGCUCCUGGUAUUUAUUAUAUUUUCUCUCCUAAAAGAGAACGCUGGUGAAGAUGUCAUAAAACCAGUCUUCACAGAGAAGCAGGUUUUGGAAGGAAAAUAUGUUACACUGAUCUGCAACUACACUGGCACUGUCAACAAUUUACAGUGGUAUCGUCAGUAUCCCGGAUCCAAACCGGAGCACAUCAUCAUGUUCUUUGAGACCAUCCCCAAAUCAGAGCCCGCUCUCCGUCUGACCGCUGCAGCUGAUAAAGCAGCCAAAAGUAUGAAUCUGACGAUCUCUUCUACAGAAGUGAAAGACUCUGCCGUGUACUACUGUGCCCUGCAGCCCACAGUGACAGGAAACACAACUACACUGUACAAAAACAGAACCAAACCAGCCAUCUGUAGUUUUAACCGAAGGAACAGCACCACUCUGUCCUGUUCAUAUGAUGGAUCAGCUUACAGUCUACACUGGUAUCGGCAGAGGCCUGGAUCAAAACCAGAGUUUCUGCUGCUGAUUGUUGAGUCUUCCAAGUAUGUCACCAAAGCUGACUGA